CAGCCCGGAUAGGAGAGCGAGAAAGCUCAAAAGGCACAGUGGUUGUUGCUGUUGCCCAAGAUGCCCGGCCGGCCUAACCUGCCCCGCGCCCCUCUCUCAGAGCUCGCGGUGUAGUACGCUAGUACCGGAAGUACACCGCGCCUCCCCCGGCUUGUGCAGUACAACUGCGGACUUGUGGUUACGAUCGCUGGCGGUCGUCGUGGUUGUACUCCCAUAUCUUCCGGCCCGCCUAGCUAAGCUAGCUUGUUGCGUCUCUGAUCAGGGAUGGCAUUGUCUGUCUUGCGUGGGCGGCGGCAUCUUUGCCCCCCACCUUUUGCAUUGCGUCUCGCCUCGCCCCGGCCGGCCGGGGGGGCGUGCGUGCUUUGCCUUGGCCAUCCAUCUCCGAUCCUCGUCUUUACAGCCUGAAGAUUUAGCUUCGGUGAUUACAAAGAUGUUGGAGGUUAUGGAUAAAUAAAUCAGCCCGGGUCCGACGAUAGUGUGUACAUCCUGGAAGAUUACAAUACAAACUUUGCCAGAGUAUGUCGGCACAGGAGCAGCCCCUGCCAACGAGGUACCCGUAGUAUCAGAUUCAGAUGCUUUUGGUGCUGCUGCCCAGUGCCCACUGGAAUUUUUCUUCUCCGAAUUGCUGCUGCUGCGAAAGGGGUUUAGCCCGGCUGGUGAAUUUUUCCCGUGUCGCGUAAAAAAAAUUGUUCCCAUUCUAAAGCAUAGUUGGAGCUCGGCCUUCUCACGGAUGAUAAGCUACUGUAUAUAGGUGGAGCAGAGGUUCGGAAGGUUUCCUUCUUGAUACAAUGCCGUGGGGCGGUCUUUCCCCAGGUAAAGUUUUUCCGAACUGCUGCUGCUGGUCGUCGGAUCAUGUGGGCUUUCUUUUCCUGGCCCACGCCCAGUCUCCUUCACGGGGAAGGCCCAAAGGCAGAGACGGAGUUUGCUCGGAUAAGGCCCACCAACAGCUUAGGUCCAGAUUUUGCAAGGAGGGGCCGACCAACUUCAAGGUACAUUCCUGUCAAAAAAAAAAAGAACUUCAAGGUACAUGGCGUCAAAAAAGAAAACCCCCCUUCAAGGAACACUGUUCAAGUUGCUUCAGAUGAAUCUUUUCCUUCUAAAGAACGUUUCAGGUGGAUCGCAGGAUCGGUGAAGACUGAAGUGUUCAUAUGGUGUCCAGCUCGUGCAAGUGCAACCUAUGUUUUCCGGUAUCCAUUCGCAGUGGUGCGUGCCAAGCUUGCCACAGCUAAACAUAGGCAAGCACACUUAAAUAAGAUGGGUAUGGGUCCAUGGCGUACAAGAGACUAGCGCUUCGUUUGCUGAUUUCCCCAAAGAUCACAGCAACAGCAAGCAAGCUAGCGAGAGCUGUCCUGAUCUGACUCACUCCACGCUCCCUCGCUGUCCUGUCCAGCGUGACCGCGUGCCGUGCGACCGUGUCUGUACUCUGUACUGUGCCUUGUUCACUGUGCUCCGGUGAAAAAAUACUGGUUUUGCUGGCAUGCGCCGUCUCUAAUUCCAAGAAAUUUGCAAGUUCCAGCUCAAGCAAAUUUCAGCCAAAUUUUUACCAUACCAAGGAAGAGCCAGGUCAAGUUUGAUUAGUUUGAGGAGAUAUCCAUCGGAUCCCGCGUUGCCGUCAGAUCCAAAAACCGGAGUGUAUCCCAUGCCACCAGCAAGGCAGCAACGUCUGGAGUCUGUACGGCCAAACCAUGGGCCGGACGACACGGCAGGUCGGCACGGCUGGACCAAACGCGC